GCCCAGGUAGCUCAGUUGGUAGAGCACUGCACUGAAAAUGCAGGUGUCGGUGGUUCAAUUCCGCCCCUGGGCA
rnacentral:tRNA from 1 species